GCCGGGUGUGGUGGUGCAUGCCUGUAAUCCCAGCUACUUGGGAGGCUGAGGCAGGAGAAUUGCUUGAACCAGGGAGGUGGAGGUUGCAGUGAGCCGAGAUUGCACCACUGCACUCCAGCCUAGGUGACAGAGCGAGACUCUGUCUCAA
rnacentral:SRP_RNA from 1 species